rnacentral:rRNA from 1 species
CAGGUGGUCAGGUAGAGAAUACCAAGGCGCUUGAGAGAACUCGGGUGAAGGAACUAGGCAAAAUGGUGCCGUAACUUCGGGAGAAGGCACGCUGACACGUAGGUGAAGUGAUUUACUCAUGGAGCUGAAGUCAGUCGAAGAUACCAGCUGGCUGCAACUGUUUAUUAAAAACACAGCACUGUGCAAACACGAAAGUGGACGUAUACGGUGUGACGCCUGCCCGGUGCCGGAAGGUUAAUUGAUGGGGUCAGCGCAAGCGAAGCUCCUGAUCGAAGCCCCGGUAAACGGCGGCCGUAACUAUAACGGUCCUAAGGUAGCGAAAUUCCUUGUCGGGUAAGUUCCGACCUGCACGAAUGGCGUAAUGAUGGCCAGGCUGUCUCCACCCGAGACUCAGUGAAAUUGAACUCGCUGUGAAGAUGCAGUGUACCCGCGGCAAGACGGAAAGACCCCGUGAACCUUUACUAUAGCUUGACACUGAACAUUGAGCCUUGAUGUGUAGGAUAGGUGGGAGGCUUUGAAGUGUGGACGCCAGUCUGCAUGGAGCCGACCUUGAAAUACCACCCUUUAAUGUUUGAUGUUCUAACGUGGACCCGUUACCCGGGUUGCGGACAGUGUCUGGUGGGUAGUUUGACUGGGGCGGUCUCCUCCUAAAGAGUAACGGAGGAGCACGAAGGUUGGCUAAUCCUGGUCGGACAUCAGGAGGUUAGUGCAAUGGCAUAAGCCAGCUUGACUGCGAGCGUGACGGCGCGAGCAGGUGCGAAAGCAGGUCAUAGUGAUCCGGUGGUUCUGAAUGGAAGGGCCAUCGCUCAACGGAUAAAAGGUACUCCGGGGAUAACAGGCUGAUACCGCCCAAGAGUUCAUAUCGACGGCGGUGUUUGGCACCUCGAUGUCGGCUCAUCACAUCCUGGGGCUGAAGUAGGUCCCAAGGGUAUGGCUGUUCGCCAUUUAAAGUGGUACGCGAGCUGGGUUUAGAACGUCGUGAGACAGUUCGGUCCCUAUCUGCCGUGGGCGCUGGAGAACUGAGGGGGGCUGCUCCUAGUACGAGAGGACCGGAGUGGACGCAUCACUGGUGUUCGGGUUGUCAUGCCAAUGGCACUGCCCGGUAGCUAAAUGCGGAAGAGAUAAGUGCUGAAAGCAUCUAAGCACGAAACUUGCCCCGAGAUGAGUUCUCCCUGAGACUUAGAGUCUCCUGAAGGAACGUUGAAGACGACGACGUUGAUAGGCCGGGUGUGUAAGCGCAGCGAUGCGUUGAGCUAACCGGUACUAAUGAACCGUGAGGCUUAACCUUACA